UAAUCAAGUGUUUUUUAUGGCACUUUCAAAAAAUCCAUAUCCACCUUGUGUGCAAUGUCAUCUCUCUGCUGGGGGCUGCCGGCUGUCAAAAGCCGUGUGGUCACCUUUGGGAUUUAUAUCUACUCAGAACUUUAGUGAUUUUGUCUGAAACAUAUUAUGAAUACUUAAUUCAAAAAUAC
rnacentral:misc_RNA from 1 species